rnacentral:rRNA from 1 species
UGGGGAAUAUUGCACAAUGGGCGCAAGCCUGAUGCAGCGACGCCGCGUGAGGGAUGACGGCCUUCGGGUUGUAAACCUCUUUCAGCACAGACGAAGCGCAAGUGACGGUAUGUGCAGAAGAAGGACCGGCCAACUACGUGCCAGCAGCCGCGGUAAUACGUAGGGUCCGAGCGUUGUCCGGAAUUACUGGGCGUAAAGAGCUCGUAGGUGGUUUGUCGCGUUGUUCGUGAAAACUCACAGCUUAACUGUG